CCUACGGGAGGCUGCAGUGGGGGAUAUUGCACAAUGGGGGGAACCCUGAUGCAGCGACGCCGCGUGGGUGAAGGAGCGUUUCGGCGCGUCAAGCCCUCUCGGCAGGGAAGAAGGAGGACGGUACCUGACUAAGAAGCCCCGGCUAACUACGUGCCAGCAGCCGCGGUAAUACGUAGGGGGCAAGCGUUAUCCGGAUUUACGGGGUGUAAAGGGGGCGCAGACGGCAGCGCAAGCCAGGAGUGAAAGCCCGGGGCCCAACCCCGGGACUGCUCUUGGAACUGCGCGGCUGGAGUGCAGGAGGGGCAGGCGGAAUGCCUGGUGUAGCGGUGAAAUGCGUAGAGAUCAGGAGGAACACCGGUGGCGAAGGCGGCCGGCUGGACUGCGACUGACGUUGAGGCCCGAAAGCGUGGGGAGCAAACAGGAUUAGAUACCCGAGUAGUC
rnacentral:rRNA from 1 species